GCGGAGGGCCGGAUGGCCGCUUGGGCGGGCUUCGGCCCGUCGGGGAGGAAAGUCCGGACUCCACAAGGCAACGGUGCCGGGUAACGCCCGGCUGGGGUAACCCAAGGGAAAGCGCCACAGAAAACAGACCGCGUCGGUCGAUCGCGUGCGAUCGACCUGCGUAAGGGUGAAACGGUGGGGUAAGAGCCCACCGCGGGGCUGGCAACAGCGCCGGCACGGCAAGCCCCACCGGGAGCAAUGCCAAAUAGGGACCGCGCGCGGGGCUGGUCGAGUUCGCUCGAUACCGCCCGCAGGCACGUCUUGGCCCGGCGGUCCGGGUUGGCAGCCAAAGGGGCGGUGGCAACACCGUCUUUAGAUGAAUGGUCAUCCAGGGGCGGGUUACGGCCCGCUCUGGACAGAAUCCGGCUUAUAGGCCCUCCGCGCAU
rfam:Roseovarius nanhaiticus strain DSM 29590 genome assembly, contig: Ga0104494_103